GCAAGUCGAGCGGAAACGAGAAUAGCUUGCUAGAAGAUGACGAGCGGCGGACGGGUGAGUAAUGCUUGGGAAUAUGCCUUAUGGUGGGGGACAACAGUUGGAAACGACUGCUAAUACCGCAUAACGUCUACGGACCAAAGGGGGGGAUCUUCGGACCUCUCGCCAUUUGAUUGGCCCAAGUGGGAUUAGCUAGUUGGUGAGGUAAUGGCUCACCAAGGCGACGAUCCCUAGCUGGUUUGAGAGGAUGAUC
rnacentral:rRNA from 1 species